rnacentral:tRNA from 1 species
GUAUUCCUCAAACUUUCUGAUUCCUUCUUUGCACAACAACCUUAUUUAUUCACCUCCCUGGUUCAUGAAGCAAUAAUCACCCAUUUCCCCUCACAAUCAUAGUCAGGGUCCAGCCUGUUUCUUUUAAUCUUUCUUGAGUAAACAGAGCCAAUCCCUUCAUCAUUUUUAUUGCUCUAUUCCAAACUCUCUCCUAUUUGUUUAUCUCCUCCUGGUAAUGAGAUGUCUAGGCUAAGCAAAGUAUAUAUUGAUUCAACUUGGCAAAUAUACAUAAGUUUUUGGAGAUACUUUUCUAAGGAGAAAAGGUAUAUGAUAGAGGGUGAGCCACCGAACUGAUAAGACACUCCUCUUUCAAAAAGGAAGGGGUGAAGGACCAGAUGUGUGGGAGUUGCCCCAGCAGACUGGUCCUGAGAGGUUGUCUGUACACUUUGCCUUUAUUGCUCUUUCCUAUGACUGUUCCCCAGUAGGUUUUCUGGAACUCUGGACCCACUUACCCACUAGUUGUCAUGACUCUAAUCUAUCACAUUUCCACACCUCUGAGUCCUGGGAGGGUGCUUCUCCUCAAUGGGCACAGGGAGUCUGGGACUGUGGAGUCACCUGAGAAUAUAAAAGGCAACUGAGGCUAGAAGAGCGGUGUGGCCUGAGUUCCUAGCAUCAAUAAACUGGCACUUAAUGAUAGUCUAGCGUGCUGAAGUUGAAUAGAGAGAGGAUGGCUUCACCUAUUCAAAAAAUUAUCCUGAGCUCGGUUCAUGCCUUCAAUUCCACCUACUUGGGAGACUGAGGAAGGUGGAUUGUCAAAUUCAAGGCCAAUGUGGGCAACUUAGGUGAGAUCCUGUCUCAAAAUAAAUAAAAAGAGUCAGGGAUGUAGCUCAGUGGUAAAGUGCUCCUAGGUUCAAAUCCCAGUACUGGGAACGGGGUAUGAGUGGGGAAGAACUUUGACAAAUCAUUAUGCAUGAAAUUCUUAUGGGCUGAUAAAGGGAGAACGAAUUGGGGCCUGAUUUAUUUUGGGGCUUGCUGGAGAUAGGAACCAGGGCUUCUUGCAUGCCAGGCAAGCACUCUACCACUGAGCUACAAGGGGCCAGUUUUCCUGAGGUCAAUUCAACAGCAUGUGCCAAGAACCUUAUAAAGUCUGUGCCCUCUCUCCUCGUCAUUCUG